UACAGAGGUCUCAAGCGUUGUUCGGAUUCAUUGGGCGUAAAGGGUGCGUAGGCGGCGCGGUAAGUCGGGUGUGAAAUCUCGGAGCUUAACUCCGAAACUGCAUUUGAUACUGCCGUGCUUGAGGACUGGAGAGGAGACUGGAAUUUACGGUGUAGCGGUGAAAUGCGUAGAUAUCGUAAGGAAGACCAGUGGCGAAGGCGGGUCUCUGGACAGUUCCUGACGCUGAGGCACGAAGGCCAGGGGAGCAAACGGG
rnacentral:rRNA from 1 species